rnacentral:lncRNA from 1 species
UAAAAAUCUAAUUCCAGCUUUUCAAUUUCUAAAGUGAUAUUUUGAUUAAUUUAUCUCCGAUUUCAAAUCAUAUCAAUAUGGGUAUCAUUGGAGUCUUUUUGAUGAACUCUUUCCACUCUUGAUAGCUAAGGAUCGUUUCGGUGAUUGUGUGGUUGAUGAAGUUUUCCGAUAGGAUUGUUCGAGUGAUGUUUCAAUAUUGAGGUAGGUUUGGCUAUCCCUAUAUUACAUUGAGAUGAAUAAUUAACCUUUCUUAGGAAGUCAACUGCGAAAUAAGUAGUAGCAUAAGUCUUAGAAGUUGAUAUAUGUUGACCUCCUUGUUUAGUUCAUAUGAUGUCUAAUUGGGAUGCUUAGCAUGUGUGGAGGCUUGUGUGAUAUUUGUAAUUGUUGCGGAAAUUUUGUGAUAUUCGAGUAAUUGCCUGAGUGAAGGGUUGUGUGACCUAUCUUUAUAUUUGACAUUGAGAUGCCUGAGUUAGGGGCUUGAGUCAACUUUUGAACAUCUUAAAAUGAAAGAAAUAAUGCUUUCUAAGUGAUAAAAGUUGAAUUCAAAUUAUUUCCUCCACUAUCCCUAUCAUUUGAGAAUAUGUUUCAUAGCUUGUUGAGUUUGAGAACUUGAUACUAUUUGAAAACUCUUGAUGAAAUGAUUAUGCCUUGUGUUAUAUAUGUUGUGAUGCAGUCAUCAUCAUGCAACAUAUCAUUGUUCAUGGAAAUACAAGAAAGUGGAGGAAUACUAUCUUUUUGAAAAAGAAAAUUGGACACCUUACUUAUAUCAUUAACCACGAGCUAGGUGGCAAGAUGAUGAGAUAUUGAGAUUAUGAGAUCGAUGUAUGGACUGCAAGUUCCCAUGGGUCCUUGUUUGGAAGCUAAUUGCUCGGCAAAUUGUAUAUGACAUGUUGUGCAACGACCUUCGUAUCACCACAUUAUUUCAUCAUCUUAUUACAUCACAUUGACCAACUUUAUUGUGUUGUGUAAUUUGUUUAUGUGUCGAUUUAAAUGAUACAUGUACUCAUGUGCCUAUACAUUAUUCGUGUCGUUCUAUAUAAAUUGGCGACAUCGAUGUCGGAAUAAGACUUUUCUGCCUGUAGGUGGAAGCAUUUCAUAGUUUAUUUCUUAAGUUUGUUUAGUUGCUUAUAUUUAGUCAGUCUAACUUACUGAGUACGUGUGGAUUGUACUCACCCCCUACUUUUGUCAACCUUUUGAUGCAGUAGGUAGUCAGGGU